UACGUAGGGUGCGAGCGUUAAUCGGAAUACUGGGCGUAAGCGUGCGCAGGCGGUGAUGUAAGACAGGUGUGAAAUCCCCGGGCUUAACCUGGGAACUGCAUUUGUGACUGCAUCGCUGGAGUGCGGCAGAGGGGGAUGGAAUUCCGCGUGUAGCAGUGAAAUGCGUAGAUAUGCGGAGGAACACCGAUGGCGAAGGCAAUCCCCUGGGCCUGCACUGACGCUCAUGCACGAAAGCGUGGGGAGCAAACAGG
rnacentral:rRNA from 1 species